rnacentral:rRNA from 1 species
GAUGAACGCUAGCGGCAGGCUUAAUACAUGCAAGUCGAGGGGCAGCAUGAUUGUAGCAAUACAAUUGAUGGCGACCGGCAAACGGGUGCGGAACACGUACACAACCUUCCAACAAGUGGGGGAUAGCCCAGAGAAAUUUGGAUUAAUACCCCGCAACAUAGCGAUGUGGCAUCACAUUGCUAUUAUAGAUUUUUCGCUUGUUGAUGGGUGUGCGGCUGAUUAGAUAGUUGGCGGGGUAACGGCCCACCAAGUCUACGAUCAGUAGCUGAUGUGAGAGCAUGAUCAGCCACACGGGCACUGAGACACGGGCCCGACUCCUACGGGAGGCAGCAGUAAGGAAUAUUGGACAAUGGACGCAAGUCUGAUCCAGCCAUGCCGCGUGAAGGAUUAAGGUCCUCUGGAUUGUAAACUUCUUUUAUAAGGGACGAAAAAAGGCUUUUCUAAGUCGUCUGACGGUACCUUAUGAAUAAGCACCGGCUAACUCCGUGCCAGCCGCCGCUGUAA